rnacentral:rRNA from 1 species
UACGUAGGGGGCAAGCGUUGUCCGGAUUUACUGGGCGUAAAGAGCGCGUAGGCGGACACGCCAGUCCGGCUUGAAAGCCCCCGGCUCAACCGGGGAGAGUGGCUGGAAACUGCGUUUCUUGAGGGCGAGAGAGGAGGGUGGAAUUCCUGGUGUAGCGGUGAAAUGCGUAGAGAUCAGGAGGAACACCCGUGGCGAAGGCGGCCCUCUGGCUCGACCCUGACGCUGAGGCGCGAAAGCGUGGGGAGCGAACGGG